GAUGAACGCUGGCGGCGUGCCUAAUACAUGCAAGUCGAGCGGACGGACGAGAAGCUUGCUCCCCUGAUGUUAGCGGCGGACGGGUGAGUAACACGUGGACAACCUACCUAUAACACUGGGAUAAGCUCUGGAAACGGUAGCUAAUACCGGAUAAGAUUUUGAACGGCAUGGUCCAAACGUGAAAGACGGUCUUGCUGUCACUGAGAGAUGGAUCCGCGCUGCAUUUGCUAGUGGGUAAGGUAACGACUUACCAAGGCAACGAUGCGUAGCCGACCUGAGAGGGGGGUCGGCGACACGGGAAGUGGAACAGCGACCAUGGUCCUGAGAGACGCAGCAGAAGCGUAUGGGAGGCAGUGGGCGAGAACCUUACAGAGCGACGGCAAGUGUGAGGUAGCAAUCUUCGGAGCGUAAAGAUCUGUUAUGAGGGGAAAACAUCUUUUUGAGGAAAUGUAGAGAUAGUGACGGUACCUGAUCAGAAAGCCCCGGCUAACUACGUG
rnacentral:rRNA from 1 species